UACGAAGGGGGCUAGCGUUGCUCGGAAUCACUGGGCGUAAAGCGCACGUAGGCGGAUUGUUAAGUCAGGGGUGAAAUCCUGGAGCUCAACUCCAGAACUGCCUUUGAUACUGGCGAUCUUGAGUCCGGGAGAGGUGAGUGGAACUCCGAGUGUAGAGGUGAAAUUCGUAGAUAUUCGGAAGAACACCAGUGGCGAAGGCGGCUCACUGGCCCGGUACUGACGCUGAUGUGCGAAAGCGUGGGAGCAAACAGG
rnacentral:rRNA from 1 species